AGCGAACGCUGGCGGCGUACUUAACACAUGCAAGUCGAACGAGGAUCGUCGGGUUAGCAAUAAUUCGGCGGUUCUAGUGGCGUACGGGUGAGUAACACGUGGGUAACCUGCCCUCGAGUCCGGGAUACCCUCUCGAAAGGGAGGCUAAUACUGGAUACGUUCCCUAGGUCGCAAGGCCUGGGGAGGAAAGGUAGCGAGAGCUGCCGCUCUUGGA
rnacentral:rRNA from 1 species